AUGAACGCUGGCGGCGUGCUUAAUACAUGCAAGUCGAACGAAGACAGUAGCAAUAUUGUCUGAGUGGCGAACGGGUGAGUAACGCGUUGGUGACCUGCCCCGAAGAGAGGGAUAACAGUCCGAAAGGAUUGCUAAUACCCCAUGUGGUCAUUUGGAUUAGAUGCCUUAUGACUAAACGGAUUUAUUCGCUUCGGGAGGGGCCUGCGUCCCGUCAGCUAGUUGGUAAGGUAAUGGCUUACCAAGGCGAUGACGGGUAGGGGACCUGAGAGGGUGGCCACCGACAAUGGAACUGAAACACGGUCCAUACACCUACGGGUGGCAGCAGUAGGGAAUAUUGGUUAAUGUGGGAAACCGCGAACCAGCAACGCCGCGUGCGCGAUGAAGGCCUUCGGGUUGUAGAGCGCUUUUAGAGAGGAUGAGGAAGGACAGUACUCUCUGAAUAAGCCUCGGCUAACUACGU
rnacentral:rRNA from 1 species